CCCCCAGCCUGGUGCAUGGGUUUAUUUUAACCUUUGUAGUAAGAUAAGCUGGAAUAUACAACGAAAAAGAAGCAGAUUUACUACAGGUGGUUCACAGAAGAAAAAAAAGCUGGGUUAUUUUAGUUGGAGACUUUUUUUUUUUCACUCCAUUAGCUAUUUAUACCUAUCUUUAUUGCAGCUCCACUUUUCUCACCAUUUAUUGGGAAUAAGUCGCUACACAGUUGAUGGAAAGGGAAAAAAAAACCAAAGUCAAUAUGCAAAAAGGACUGCACAUGAGAGAAAUAAACAAGUGAACUAUAUCUACAAUAUGAUGAGCUCUAACUUACCUAUUACUGUUCCUGAGAGAAAUAAUUCUGUGAAAAUGUUAGUGCUCAGCAGCAGCAAUAAAUAAAUAAUUUUCUGAUGUCCUUGCAUCUUGAAUACUUCAUAGAAUACUUUAUUAGAAAAAAUAUAGUUGGACAAUAAAGGUACAAAGGAUGGCA
rnacentral:lncRNA from 1 species